UGUUGCUGCUGCUGCUGUUGUUGCUGCUGCGCAGCGGCCGCUGCCGCCGCCGCAGCCGCCGCCGCCUCCUUAGCCGACAGGGCCACCGUCUUGACCCCGACGGGCGGCGGCGGCCCGGGGGAGCGGCCGUCCUGGAAGCAGCCGUGCGCCCGCUUCAGCUGGCGCGCGGUCUCGAUCACAAACUCGAUGCGAUCCGCGCCCUCGUAGUUGACGCAACCGCGGCAUACGGGUUCCGAGAAGUCCCAGAUCAUGGCCCAGGGCAUGCGGGGCAGGAACCUGCGCUUCAACAACGGAGCUAAAUGAAUUCAGGGGGAGAUACCCCUCCCCCAAGCCGCACUCUAAAAAUUUUGGCUGAAUGUCUAAAGAAGCUAUGAGCACCCGGAGGCCUUUAAGGAAAACAGUCCACUGGCUGCACACAGCUGCAGCUGGGGGCAGGGAGGGGGAGGUGCUGGAGAGACCAAACAGGUUGACCGACAUGUUUCUGUACUGAGCGCAAGGGAUGUUUCCUGACUGUGUGCACGCAUCAGAGGCUCUAUUUUUCAUCUAGGGCUUCUGGUGACGGUUUAAAGCUGGAAGAACAAAGCAGAGCAUGAUGAGCCCCUCUCAGCAGCGUCCAGAGAGAAAGACUCUAUCCAAAGAGCUGGCUCCGUAGAGCGCAGAUGGGUGAUUUUACGUUUUAGUCAAGCCCGGAGCGGUCCUUGCCCCCCAAGGCCGUGCUCAUAUUUCAGAAACUAUUUUCCAUCCCCACCCCCAACACCCCCCCUCCUCUCUUCCUCUCUCUCUCUCCCUCCCUCUUUCUCUCUCUGUCCUUGUGGUGUCUGCUUCUUUGUUACCUUCAAAAGUUCUUCCUUUUUUCAGCCUUCCUUCCUCUCCCAAAUGGGAAGUUUGAACAAGCCAUGUGGGGGCCCUCGAGUGUCUUCCCAAAGGGAGGCACGCUCUGAGAUUCCGAACAGCCUAGACACUCCCCAGGUUCAGCCCGAUGACGAUGACGACAGAGGGGAGCCGGUGGUGUGGCGUCCCUGUCCCGGGGCCUGAGGAGCCUGCUUCCCAGAAGUCGGUGGAUUAGGAAGGUCUGCUUCAGGGGCUGCCAGGGAACAACUCCCUUUUGUGUUGCUGUCUAGCAUGUGACCAGAAUGCUGCCAGCUAAUUUUAACCCCACCAAAGUACGGCUGGGAAAAAAACAAAAAAACAACAACAACCGAAAAAAAAAAAAAAAACUGUCUUGCAUCUGGAGAGAGAAAUGCUGUGGGCUGGAUAAAAGCUUUUUCAGCCUGUGUUCCUUCCUGUUUCAGUUUCCAAACUUGCAUUAUCGGUAACCUGAAAAAUGAUGAGUUUCACCAAAUUCCUGGAUAUUGCACAAGAGGACAAUGAGUCUAUUUCGGGUGCUCUGACUGUGUCUGGCACAGACCCUGGAAGCCAUUGUUUUCGGGAGGGAGACGGUUUGGGGUUUCCUGGUGCUUUCCUUCUAGGGUCUCAGAGCCCCCAAAGGUGGGGGGGUGGCCCUCUCCAUGGUAACCAUGCAGGCCGUCCUCUGAAAGGACCUGGAUGGGAAGUGAGUGGCUGGGCGGGUGGGGGCAGUGGCAGUGGUGGCCUUGGAGGUGUUAAAAGGCAGAUGGCAGGGAGUGCUUGUCGGGGGACAGCAGGAGCAGGAAGAAGCAGGGAGAAGGAAGCGUUCAUAAUUGCUGGGUGCCCCCCCUCCCCAGGCCACCAAGCUCUCCUACUGAGUUUCCAUUAUCUGCUUUCAGCACCAGGAAUUAAUGGAGGACUUUCUCGGGGUCUUCACCCUGGAGACUGGCUCCUCGAAGCAUUUCCAUGGCGCUUAAUUGUUGCUCUCUGGCUAGGUGGCCGAUGAUGCUAGGGAAAAGGUACGGAAUCUCAAGAGACAGGAAAUGAAGAAGCUCGGAUGAGAUAGCGUGUAGCUCGGCAGCUGCUGCCGGCCGUUCUAAAACCAGGUAGAGAGACAGGCUGUCAUUUACCUGUGGGGCAUGGUGCAGUCCCAGAAGACACACGGUGAUGGCAAAGAGACUGAGGGGAAAGACCCUGGUUAAGGCUGCAGCACUCCUGGCAACCAGGAGGGCUUGGUGGCAUUUGUCCUCACAGUUGCUGAGAGCUUCAGCUGCCUACAAGGCCAUUUGCUCUGCCCGCCCCGUCCGGCCAGCCUCUAUGCCUUUAAAGGCUCCUUGUUGCUGUCUGAGGCCCACCUCUGCACCCGCAUCCUCUGGCAAAGCUGCUGUAUCUUUGAAAGCCAGGGAACUUCCUAGGAGACAUUUCCCCUACCAUCUGCCUCUGAGCUGCUGCCAUAACCUUCCCACAGCAGUCAAGUUCAGCCUCAAUUCCUAAAUGGAGGUUCUCUCUACUCUGUUGUUCCAAAGGCUUGUGUGGAACGAGAAGCUGUGCUUUAAUUAAAAAGAUGAGCGCGCGUAAGGGAACCGAUGAUUUUUGAUGCUUCACAAAGAUGUUUGAGUUUCGUUUCUUGCAUUUCACAGUAGGGGGUGGCCAGGCUGGUCAGCACUUUUAGGGGUAAGACCACUAAAUGCUUUUCCUGUUUGACGGACAGCUGGCGCUUGGCACAGUAGAAUUGUAAACGGAACCCAAAGGCCAGAAUCUGUUCCUUGGGUGUCUCUGCAGAGUGUCACCAGCCUUCAGGUAUCUGAGGACACGUUUCACAUUUACCUUUCCAGCCGGAGGAUGGAGGAUUCCUAAAUGUUUCCUCACAGCACCACAGCUGGAAUGCAGCUGCCGCAGGGUGGAACAAACACAAACUCUUUGUGGGUCAGCCGGGUGAGGGAGGGCAAGGACUCUUGGAAGGUUGGGAAAGUCCUUGUUUCUAAAGCCAGAGCUCAGGAAUGAGUGGGGCCUCUGAUGUGCAGAGCUUUCCAGAUGGGGGAAGGAAGGGUAAGUUUUUGCCCUCUGGGCAGAUUCCAAAAAAUCGCUUUGGGGAGGCCAACUAUUUUUGAAAUUGCCUUUCAAGCAAACAGCACAAAUGUUUAAAUUGACCUGGAAAACCCUUCCUUUUUCCUUUCCCUGCAAUCCAAGUCUGUUCCCUUGAACAUUAAUCCACAGGAGCAUUUUGCCCAAGCUUCUCUCUUUCCCCACGUCUUUGAAAAAUAUUAUUAUUAUUAUCUUUGGUUCGGAAAUCUUUUGGAAGCCUUCCCAGACUGGAGCUAUAGAAUGCUUCCAGGAAAAUGCCUAAGGAGUGUCUGUGUUUUGAGUUUCUCUGGAGGGGGUAAAACAUGUUUUUCAGAGCGACGGAGCUGGGGGCAGCCCGUCUUAUGCAAGAGGCCAGCCAAGCAAAAGGGCAGACUGCACGGAAGGGGCUGUGCGUUUCCCAAAGUGCUGAAACGAAGGUGUGGUUCAGCCGGCUCGCCUGUGCUCUUCUCUCAGUCUUUCAUUACUGCAGCUGCCUCGAUGUCAGUUCGUGUGUGAAGCAGCACCCCAGGAGAUGGGCUGAGGACAGCUGGGGGCCAGGGUUGGAACUUCAUUCUCAAGUUAGCAGCCUUUGUAAUUUCUUGCCCAAAGAACCCUUGGAAAUUUAGCUGGAAAAUUGCAGGGGUCAAGCAAUACUCACCCAGCAGGCGGGGGUCCCAUCCAGGCAUGGAAUGGAAUGGGCAAAAUGUACCCUGGGAUGCUGGCUGCCAAGGGUGGUGCCAGCCCCCAGCCCGUGCUCCCCUUGGUCCCAGAAACACAAACCCAGCUGCAUGCAUGCAUGUAUCAGAAACAUCAAUACAGAAAAGCAGAGAGCGCCCACAUGAGACCCGAGGGUGAUGGGUACUCGCAGUGCCCCCUCAGCGGUAGCAAAGGCAGCUGGGCUUUCCUGGAAAUACACGCCAUUCGGGCUGGUUCAUGGGAAAAGGAGCAGAAAGAGGUCCCUAGGAGGGCCGCCCCGAAUGAGGGCAGAGGUGCCCCAGCCACUCUCCAAUGCCAAGGCUGCUUCCUCCUGGGUCAGUCCCCUGUGGCUGUGAGGUCCCAGAGCCCUUAAGAGAGGGAGGAACUAGCAGGAGGCCUGCAGUGCUGGGACCCGGAGGACACAGCUCCUGGCUCUCUCUCCCCGUGAAUCUGAGGACUAUUUACUAGUAGGACUGUCCUGGUUCCUGCAGGAAAAUCUCUUUCCUUUCUGCCCAGGAGACACACUGACUUCAGAAGGCACCCCCCACCCCCACCCCACAGCAGGCUGGGAAGGUGCUUCACAGCCCAGAUUUUGGCAUAUUAACAGCAACGAUGGAGGCACAGCCACCUCUCAUUGAGCACUUUUGUGUCUGGCGUUGUGCUAAGAGUUUUAAUGCCUGCUGUCUUCCAAUCGGCACCUAGCAAAGGGGGGUUUGUUAUUAUUCCCUCUGUGUAGGUCAAGAAAAGGAAGCUCAGAGAGGUUAAGCAACCUAUCCCAGGCCACACAGCUAGUAAAUGGCGGCUGUAUUUAGAACUCAAGGUUACCCUAUUCUAGAGUCCUUAUCAGACAGACCUGAGUUUGAAUCCUGAGUGGGCCCUGUGUGAUUGUGUGAUCUGUGCCAACCUCCAGAUUCUUCUGUUUUCAUAAACCAAACAUAUCGAACUUUGGAAAUUUCAUGUAAUUUAGCCUAAAUUUUAUUUAUAAGGCAGUCGUAAGCGUUAAAUAAGAUAACGUAUAUAUAGUACUUAGCAGACUGCCUCGAAUGUAGUGAACACCGGAUGCUACCUUUUACGAGUAAUCUGAGUCAGUGUGUUUGUUCAGCAUGUGUUUGUCAAGUUUCAGGGUCUCAAGCCUUUGGAAGGACCCGCGCAGCCCUGAGUGGGCACAUCGGACCCCAAGGACAGCUGGACGUGGUGCUGAUGUGGGGAGAACCACGCCUCGUACCUUCUCUGUGACUUCUUUUAACUUGUGCCGGAACCCACACACCUGGAGCACACAUCAAUGUCUGAGCCAUUGAUCCCUCUCUUCCACGUUGCCCACUCACGUUCAGUUGGGUUCAUUAGAGGGUUCCAGUCUUCAAAAUCAUUCAAAGCUGAUGGCUUUAUUUCCUGCUGCAAAACCUCCUUCCAGGCACCUAACAGAAUCAAGACAAACUCCUUAGCUUGGCACACAAGGCUCCUGGGAAACUGCCUCCAAGCCCCCUUUCUGCCUCUUCCUGCCUGCCCUUUAAUUCCUUUCUGACCACGUUAAAUCCCUCUUUGUUCUGAACCGACAUGAACUCUCAAGCCCACGCCUUUGCAGGGCUCUUUGCUUUGCCUGGAAAGAAUGCUUUCCCGUCUUCUUCUUUGAGCAAACUUCUACGCAUCUUUCAAAAAACCCAACUCAGUUUUCACCUUUCCUAUGAAACUGGUCUCCAGCAUUUCCCUGCUCUUACUCCAUGACGGUCUGCCCUGAAUCUGUAACACAGAGUUGUAGUUAUCUGUUCAUACAACUCCCCCAUUGGGCACUUGUGAAGUUCAAGACCAGGGCUUACCCUUCUUGCCCCAAAGUCAUCUAGAAGGCCCUAAAUAAAUGCUAAUAAACACAUACUUUAAUUU
rnacentral:lncRNA from 1 species